CUGAUGGGUGUGAAGUGGUAUUUCUGUGUUUUAACGUGUGUACCCUGAUGGGUGUGAAGUGGUAUUUCUGUGUUUUAAUUUGUGUACCCUGAUGGGUGUGAAGUGGUAUUUCUGUGUUUUAAUUUGUGUACCCUGAUGGGUGUGAAGUGGUAUUUCUGUGUUUUAAGGUGUGUACCCUGAUGGGUGUGAGGUGGUAUUUCUGCCUUUUAACGUGUGUACCCUGAUGGGUGUGAGGUGGUAUUUCUGUGUUUUAAGGCGUGUACCCUCAUGGGUGUGAGGUGGUAUUUCUGUGUUUUAAUGUGUGUACCCUGAUGGGUGUGAGGUGGUAUUUCUGCAUUUUAACGUGUGUACCCUGAUGGGUGUCAGGUGGUAUUUCUGUGUUUUAAGGCGUGUGCCCCGAUGGGUGUGAAGUGGUAUUUCUGUGUUUUAAUUUGUGUACCCUGAUGGGUGUGAAGUGGUAUUUCUGUGUUUUAAGGCGUGUACCCUGAUGGGUGUGAAGUGGUAUUUCUGUGUUUUAAGGCGUGUACCCUGAUGGGUGUGAGGUGGUAUUUCUGUGUUGUAACAUGUGUACCCUGAUGGGUGUGAGGUGGUAUUUCUGUGUUUUAACGUGUGUACCCUGAUGGGUGUGAGGUGGUAUUUCUGCAUUUUAACGUGUGUACCCUGAUGGGUGUGAAGUGGUAUUUCUG
rnacentral:lncRNA from 1 species